UGGUUGGAGCAUCACACCUCCCUCCCUAAGCCAGGCAGAAGCUUCCCAAAAUUUGGGAAGGAGGUACCAGGACACUAUCUAUCUUAAGGGAUAAACGAGAAUUGGAUUUCCCUUGUAACGGUUUUUGUAUGCUGUUUGCUAUCUAUAGUGAUUACUGAGGAAGCACACACAAAUCCACAGAAAGAGUCACUGGGUUGACAAACUGAUAAAUGAUUACCAUGGAGGCAGCGCAGAAACAGAGAGGCAUGAGACUGAUUUUCAGGUCCGCUUUCUUCCAGUUGUUGUUAUUGUAGUAUCUUGCAAUGAUAAAAUUCAGGUUCAAAUCAUUGUUAUAAAAGGACUUAAUUAAUGCACAAAGCCACCACAGGAGCGUCAGUCUGAAAUUUAUAAAAAUCAUGUAAAUUGUGCCCCAGAGGAAACAGUAAGCAUGUCAUGUGCAAAGUCAGAAUUGUCAAAGGAUCUGUUCAUUUCCCACAAUUCUUCGCAGAUACCUUUCCAUGCAGAAUCUGUCAUCAGGCAAAUAAUAUAGACUCAUAUAACAAUGUCCCAAUUCAAUUUGUGAUGUUCCCUUAGCUACUGUUUUAGAAAGCUUUGCAGCACCCAUGAUUUAACCCCCGCUACCUCCACGAUCUCUCCAUCAUGAUCUAGAUUUCUCAGCCAUGUAUCCUCCGUGUGAUGGCAUCAAAAUCUCAGCCCAGAUUUUUCUCCAUUUAAUACUGUACAGAUUUAGCUUUUCCAGAUAAGUAAAAACAAACAAAC